GACGUAGGGCGCGAGCGUUGUCCGGAUUUAUUGGGCGUAAAGAGCUCGUAGGCGGUCUGUUGCGUCUGCUGUGAAAACCCGGGGCUUAACCCCUGGCUUGCAGUGGAUACGGACAGACUAGAGGUAGGUAGGGGAGAAUGGAAUUCCCGGUGUAGCGGUGAAAUGCGCAGAUAUCAGGAGGAACACCGGUGGCGAAGGCGGGUCUCUGGGCCGAUACUGACGCUGAGGAGCGAAAGCGUGGGGAGCGAACAGG
rnacentral:rRNA from 1 species